GGGGGGGGGGGGGGGGGGGGGGAGGGGGGGCAGGUCGGGCGGCAGCACGGGAAGAGCGUGCGCUUACGGGUGGCGGGUGGCGGACGGGUGAGGAAUACAUCGGAAUCUACUUUUUCGUGGGGGAUAACGUAGGGAAGCUUACGCUACUACCGCAUCCGACCUACGGGUGAACGCAGGGUAUCUUCUGACCUUUCGCGCUUGACUGAGCCGAUGUCGGAUUAGCUAGGUGGCGGGGUAAAGGCCCACCAAGGCGACUAUCCGUAGCUGGUCUGAGAGGAUGAUAAGCCACACUGGGGAUGAGACACGGUCCCGACGACGCAGGGAGGAAGCAGUGGGGAAUAUUGGACAAUGGGCGCAAGCCUGAUCCAGCCAUACCGCGUGGGUGAAGAAGGCCUUCGGGUUGUAAAGCCCUUUUGUUGGGAAAGAAAAGCAGCAGGUUAAUACCCCGCUGUUCUGACGGUACCAAAAGAAUAAGCACCGGCUAACUUCGUG
rnacentral:rRNA from 1 species